GUGCUCACUUUGCCAGCACAUACAAUGAAACUGGAAUGAUACAGAGAAGAUGAGCAUGGCCACUGCA
ensembl:snRNA U6 U6 spliceosomal RNA